AUAUCACGCAAAGACAUAAUUAUGUAUCCAGAGGAAGACGAACUAGUUCCGAGUUUUAAUUUUCUCAAGUGUGCUCCAUCCACUUGUUGUUGUUUCGCAUCGGGUAUCCCUUGCUGUGUGUAUUGUAAAUGCCAGAGCGUGGCUGCAGUUGACUGCAGGAAUGAAUACACACUACGAGGUGAUUUUAAAAAUAGAAAAUAGUAAUUGUAAGUAGUUACGAAGUAUGAAGAAAUUACGGGAAAGAAAAAAAAAAUCCAAAAUUAGCAAUCAAAUCAUUCUAACUUUAAAUUUAGGUUACAGAAGAAAGCCCGAUAGACAUUAUUCACUUAGUUCUUUCCAAAUAAUUACAUUUUCUACUGAGAAAGUGGUAAAAUAAAGACAUUAGCUCAAAAUCAAAGGAUUUUGUAUGAAAAUACGAUUUUCCGACACAGUAAUUUGUUGGACCAAUCUGUACCUUCCACAAGCAAUUUGUUUCCUUCAUCAGUGUUCAGAUAAUCAAGAUCUACGUUACCCAUUUAAGAUAUAUGCAAAAAAGCUAAAAAGACGAAGAAAAUAACUUAAAGUGCCUGAUUUUCGUCGACAGCACAGGUAAUUCAACUUUAAAAUAUAUUU